AGAGUUUGAUCAUGGCUCAGGACGAACGCUGGCGGCGCGCUUAACACAUGCAAGUCGAGCGAGAACCCAGGCUUCGGCCUGGGGGAAAGCGGCGAACGGGUGAGUAACACGUGGGUAAUCUGCCCUCGGCAUCGGGAUAGCCCGGGGAAACCCGGAUUAAUACCGAAUGGCCCGACAGCUCUUCGGAGCGGUCGGAAAAGGUAGCUUUGGCCUCCGGCCGAGGAGGAGCCCGCGGCGGAUUAGCUUGUUGGUGGGGUAACGGCCCACCAAGGCUCCGAUCCGUAGCUGGUCUGAGAGGACGAUCAGCCACACUGGGACUGAGACACGGCCCAGACUCCUACGGGAGGCAGCAGUGGGGAAUCUUGCGCAAUGGGCGAAAGCCUGACGCAGCGACGCCGCGUGAGGGAAGAAGGCCUUCGGGUUGUAAACCUCUUUCAGGGGGGACGAAGCCACUCGGGUUAAUAGCCCAGAGGGUGACGGUACCUCCAGAAGAAGCCCCGGCUAACUACGUGCCAGCAGCCGCGGUA
rnacentral:rRNA from 1 species